rnacentral:rRNA from 1 species
UGUUAGCGGCGGACGGGUGAGUAACACGUGGGUAACCUGCCUGUAAGACUGGGAUAACUCCGGGAAACCGGGGCUAAUACCGGAUGGUUGUUUGAACCGCAUGGUUCAAACAUAAAAGGUGGCUUCGGCUACCACUUACAGAUGGACCCGCGGCGCAUUAGCUAGUUGGUGAGGUAACGGCUCACCAAGGCAACGAUGCGUAGCCGACCUGAGAGGGUGAUCGGCCACACUGGGACUGAGACACGGCCCAGACUCCUACGGGAGGCAGCAGUAGGGAAUCUUCCGCAAUGGACGAAAGUCUGACGGAGCAACGCCGCGUGAGUGAUGAAGGUUUUCGGAUCGUAAAGCUCUGUUGUUAGGGAAGAACAAGUACCGUUCGAAUAGGGCGGUACCUUGACGGUACCUAACCAGAAAGCCACGGCUAACUACGUGCCAGCAGCCGCGGUAAUACGUAGGUGGCAAGCGUUGCCCGGAAUUAUUGGGCGUAAAGGGCUCGCAGGCGGUU